CUGCAUCACCCUCUCCAGCACGGAGCCCUCUCCAGCACAGAGCCCUCUCCAGCACGGAGCCCUCUCCAGCAUGGGAAUGCCUUCUGAUCCUCAAACACUCUGAGCUGCUCCCCACCCCAGAACGUGGGUACAUCUGUCUCUGCCUGGGGCUCUGUCCUGUUGGUCCUCUCCUGGGCAAUAGCUCAUCCCUAAUGCUCGCUAAGUACCACCUCCAUUGAGGAGCCUGCCCUGACCAGGUUGCUCAGGCCACUCUCAAAAGUUCUAUGGUGGAGAGGAAAGUCAGACAUUCAGACUCAGAGGGUGGCAGUGGAAUGCUGAGGUGGAGAAGCUGGACGGGCAUUCUCUGGUGCCUGGUCUGAUCAUCACAGGAAGGAUGCUGCUGCUACCACGGACUACUGUGUACCUUGCCGUCACCGCCUGGUUCAGACUCCCAGCCCCUUCUUCAUCCCGGAACGGCUGCUUCUUUUUCCUGACAUGCCCGGACUAGGGGCAUCCCCAGAAGGAGUGUCUGCGGUUGAGGUCUGAAGGGUCAGAAGCCACUAAGUCUGAGUUCAAUGGAGUUUCCUCUGUGAUCAGCUCAAUUGGGUCUCUUCCUGCGCCUUCACGCCAUCAUCUGGUCCUCACUCAAGAGGGGAGCCCCAAGGGCAGAGAUUUCCCAGCCUUGCUUUGCACAGCAGGCCUGAGCCACUGAGUGACUCACCGGCAACCUCCUGGAUUGUGUUUUCUGUUGGCUUUUGGCAUUUUCCCUUCUAAGCACGUUGCAGGAGAAAAACCAAGCAGGGGAUUAUUACAUUCUAAGGAUGUGAAAUCUGAGCCUGCAAAUCCUGCCCUUUCACUAUCACACACAUGCACACACAUGCACACACAUGUACAUACAUGUACACCCGCACACUGUACACAUGAGUACAUCUGUCACUUUUGUCUGACAGUCUACCACUAGUACUCUAAGUAUUCUUCCAGCUAAAAUAAAAGGCCACUUUGAAAGCAA